rnacentral:rRNA from 1 species
CAGCACCUCAAGUGGUCAGGAUGAUUAUUUGGCCUAAAGCGUCCGUAGCCGGCCGAGCAAGUCUUCCGUUAAAUCCAGCGUCUCAAGCGUUGGACUGCGGGAGAUACUACAUGGCUAGAGAGUGGGAGAGGUCAGCGGUAUUCUGGGGGUAGGGGCGAAAUCCUUUGAUCCCCGGAGGACCACCAGUGGCGAAGGCUGCUGACUAGAACACGUCUGACGGUCAGGGACGAAAGCUGGGGUAGCGAACCGGAUUAGAGACCCGAGUAGUCC